rnacentral:misc_RNA from 1 species
AACUUUUCAAAAUGACAAAGAAAGACUGACGACAACAUGCAAGAGGAAAAUAAAAUUCACCAUUACAUGAUCAUCUAGCAGUAAAUGUAAACUUGCAGAUGAGAAAAUCUCAUUGGAUCAUAUACCUAAAAUACUAACAGUGACAAAGAAAAUCAGUGAAUAGACAAUCUGUAAUAAAUAAUCAAUGGCCCAAAACCUGUAAAACUAGCAUUAAUUUUAUAAACAUCGCAUUAGAUAUCCAGUAAAACAAGUAUCAUUGGAUAAAAAGGAAAGGAACAAAAGAGACCUCAACCAUCCAAAUUUGUCCCCGGGUGUCAAAAAAGCCAUGGGCAUGGCUUUAACUCCUCUCACCUAAAGAAUAAAACGCCAAUCACAGAAAAAUAACAGGUCCAUCCAUCCCAAGUGGGAUUUUCAGAGCAGUGUACUGAAAGGGUCUUGGCAAAGAAUGGUAUAAAUAUAAUAAAAAUAAAAACAUGGAUUGACUUCGCGA